CAGUAGCCGCGGGAAUACGAAGGUCCCGAGCGUUGUUCGGGAUCACUGGGCGUAAAGGGAGCGUAGGCGGCGUGGUAAGUCAGAUGUGAAAUCCCGGGGCUCAACCCCGGAACUGCAUCCGAUGCUGCCGUGCUAGAGGAUUGGAGAGGUAGCUGGAAUUCUUGGUGUAGCAGUGAAAUGCGUGGAGAUCAAGAGGAACACUCGUGGCGAAAGCGAGCUACUGGACAAUAUCUGACGCUGAGGCUCGAAGGCCAGGGUAGCGAAAGGGAUUAGAUACCCCUGUAGUCCCUGUCUCUUAUAC
rnacentral:rRNA from 1 species